rnacentral:lncRNA from 1 species
GGGGGGGGAGCAUCUGACAAGAACUUAAUUGUGUGAGUGAUCCAUUCCAGAUCUAGACAUAGCUCUUCCACCCUCUGACCCAGCCCAGAGACUCUUUAACUGUCCCAGAACAGCAGAGGAACUGUUUGACCUUUUGUCCCUCUGACACAAAAUCUUCCAGAAGCAUCUCUCUAUGGUAUUACAUGUUCGUAUUCCCUAUAAAUUGAAUCUAGACAUUCAAGCAUGACUGAACAGGCAUUGAAGAUGCAGUUGGUGAGAUGUACUAACUCUACCCGUCUUUAAAUCUCUUACUUCAGGUAAUUAUGGAUGACAGAUUCUUAUUUGGAUUGGGUUGCUAUUUAUUCGUAUAUUUAUUUUAGUAAGUGAUGAGGCAAGGACAUAAAAAUGCAGAGUUGAAAGACAGAUUGGCCUGGAUUGAAUUGAUAAGAGAUGUGUGGGGCUUUUUGGCUUCUGAUCAAUAUUUGUAUUCAGUCUGCAGUCUAAAGUAUGUAUAAUAAAAAGAAAACAGGUGGGAGUGGUAUCUGAUUGUACUUCUUCCCAGUUUAUAUUCCAAUUAAAAGACAGAAAAAGCAUUAAGGAAAGAGUGGAAAGCAGCCUUAAUCACCCUACCCUAAAAUGAUUUAGUAGGAUUUCCAUAAGACAGGUCUUCGUAGACCGUGGUCAACUCCCCUUCAGAAACUUAGACAUCCCACGUUGCCAAGAGCUCUAGCUUCCGACCCGCUGAGACUCCAGCUGGCUCUUUUGCAGUUUGCUUUUUGGAAUCCAGUGGAUUUACAGCUCACAUUAGGACACUGGUAGUUUCUGGGGACCUUUGUAAAGAAAUCAGGAGUUUAGAUGGCUCUUAAGCUGUCGUUGAGGCAGCUAAUCAUCGCAUUAAUACAGUCUGUGAUCUGCACUAACAUUCUGUUCAGAAUUGUUAAUAAUGUAACUGUCAUUCGGACAUUACAGUUUCGAAAUUUUUUUUUAACAGGUCCAGUGUUGUAGACUUACUCUUUGUAGCUUCCUCUCCCCAACAUUCAUUUGGUUUAAUGAAAGAUUAUUUUAUUUGUUUUGAAGAUGGGGUAUUAGGAGUUCCUAACAAUGAGGGAGCGUAAGACCACAAAGGUCACUGCGCUCAAGCCUCCAGAAAAAAAUGAAAGCACGGAACUUUUUAUAGUAGUCAAAGAAUCUUGCAUUCGAAGCCCCAGAGUUUACUUGACAUAUUGCAAAACACUUUGGCCUCUGAUUUCUCGGAUUCGUUAACCACUGAGCCACAACGGGAACUCCAGCAAAAGUUUUUUUUUUUUUUUUUCAUGCUACAAAUACACACAGCUAAAACUAUAUUUUGCACAACCUGUCCUCUGCCAUGUGUAGAACCUUCUCUGACGCUGGCUCAACAAGAACUGCUGGUUUGCUGUCUUCUAAGGAUCCUAGAUUUGAAAAAUCUCUUAGAGAUCGUAUCCCUACCCUGUAUGUGAUGUAUAAACUAUUCUCCUCUGUGUGUUCCCCAGUUCCCAGUAAUUUACCCCCUGAACCUCCAGUGAGUAAGUACCGUCUGCCUCGAGAUAAUUUUUUAUCCUUGGAGAACUCUGAUUGUGACCUGAUAGUGACAAAGCCAGCCUCUGCAUGGCAUGCAAUGUAAUAAAUUAGAAACAGCCACACUCUCUCUUCUCAGAAUAGAAUCUCUGUAGUUGCUCAUUUGUAAUAGUCUGCCCUUCCCUGAGGGGCUGCACCCCAUGAGGUUAUUCACCAGGCAGUGUAUCCUCUACGUGGGUUCCUGUCUUGGUGGGGUAUGUUCCCUUCACUGUCCACUCCGCUGCGACUGAGUACCCUGUGAUGCCAGUCUUGAUGGGAGGAGAGCUUCAAGUCUCCAGGGCCUCCUUCUAUCUGUCUUCCUGUAGGCAUAAUACUGCUGAAAGAUCUCAGCUACAGUUUCAGAAUGUUCAGGGCAGUCCCAACCCCCUUCAUUUGGGGAUUGCAGAAAGGGACUUGGCUGAUAGAUAGAUUUGUUGUUGAUCUCCUUCACUGGAGAUUUCCACUGGUGGUACAUUUUCUUUGCUGUGCUCCAAAACGCAGGAGCUGAUGCUUAUACAGAGAGUAUGGUCUGGCCCGUGAUCUCCUUAAAUGCAAUUUCCAUCUACCACCUUCUGCAUUACAGGGUUUUGCAUCAGGAAACAGUUGGGACAGAUUCCUGCCGGGAAAUGUGCUGGAUAUUUGGUGUCUUGGAAGGGGGGUUAAACCCAGAGAGAGAAAACUCUGGCUCACAUCUGACACUCUUCUUACCAGCUGUGGAAACGAGCAAGUUACUUCAUCUGAGUUUAUAGAUGCAUCUACAACAUGAGGGUAAUAUUUAUCUUACAGAAGGUUGUGAGAAAUAAGACUAUGGGGAAGGGUUUCAUAAACUGAAAACACUCCCAAAUGUAAGGUCUUCUACGAGAAUCCUUUUCAAAACUCAAAGUCUGUAUGAACUAAGGUGUUUAUUACAUGUUGAAUGAAUUUU